GGUUAAGUGACUAAGCGUACACGGUGGAUGCCUGGGCAGUCAGAGGCGAUGAAGGACGUACUAACUUGCGAUAAGCGCAGAUAAGGCAGUAAGAGCCGUUUGAGUCUGCGAUUUCCGAAUGGGGAAACCCAACUGCAUAAGCAGUUACUGUUAACUGAAUACAUAGGUUAACAGAGCAAACCGGGGGAACUGAAACAUCUAAGUACCCCGAGGAGAAGAAAUCAACCGAGAUUCCGGUAGUAGCGGCGAGCGAACCUGGAUUAGCCCUUAAGCACUCGGUGAAGUAGGUGAACAAGCUGGAAAGCUUGGCGAUACAGGGUGAUAGCCCCGUAACCGACGCUUCAUCGAGCGUGAAAUCGAGUAGGGCGGGACACGUGAUAUCCUGUCUGAAUAUGGGGGGACCAUCCUCCAAGGCUAAAUACUCCUGACUGACCGAUAGUGAACCAGUACCGUGAGGGAAAGGCGAAAAGAACCCCUGUGAGGGGAGUGAAAUAGAACCUGAAACCGUGUACGUACAAGCAGUAGGAGCACCUUCGUGGUGUGACUGCGUACCUUUUGUAUAAUGGGUCAGCGACUUAUAUUCAGUGGCAAGGUUAACCCGUAUAGGGGAGCCGUAGCGAAAGCGAGUCUUAACUGGGCGCUCAGUCUCUGGAUAUAGACCCGAAACCGGGUGAUCUAGCCAUGGGCAGUUGAAGGUUGAGUAACAUCAACUGGA
rnacentral:rRNA from 1 species